GGGUAACGGCCCACCAAGGCGACAACGGGUAGCUGGUCUGAGAGGAUGGUCAGCCACACUGGAACUGAGACACGGUCCAGACACCUACGGGUGGCAGCAGUCGAGAAUCAUUCGCAAUGGGGGAAACCCUGACGAUGCGACGCCGCGUGGAGGAUGAAGGCCUUAGGGUUGUAAACUCCUGUCAAGAGGGAAUAAGCAAGUGAAGGUACCUCUAGAGGAAGGGGCGGCUAAUUCCGUGCCAGCAGCCGCGGUAACACGGAAGCCCCGAGCGUUGUUCGGAUUCAUUGGGCGUAAAGGGUGCGUAGGCGGCGCGGAAAGUCCGGCGUGAAAGGCAGGGGCUCAACCUCUGGACUGCGUUGGAUACUUCCGUGCUUGAGGACUGGAGGGGAGACUGGAAUUCACGGUGUAGCAGUGAAAUGCGUAGAUAUCGUGAGGAAGACCGGUGGCGAAGGCGAGUCUCUGGACAGAUCCUGACGCUGAGGCACGAAGGCUGGGGGAGCGAACAGGAUUAGAUACCCUGGUAGUCCCAGCAGUAAACGAUGUGAGCUUGAUGUGGGGGGAUUCGACCCCUUCCGUGUCGAAGCUAACGCGAUAAGCUCACCGCCUGAGGAGUACGGCCGCAAGGCUAAAACUCAAAGAAAUUGACGGGGACCCGCACAAGCGGUGGAGUAUGUGGCUUAAUUCGAUGCAACGCGAAGAACCUUACCUGGCCUUGACAUGCAUUGUGUCGUCGGUGAAAGCCGGCUAGUCCUGGAAACAGGACGCUUUGCACAGGUGCUGCGUGGCUGUCGUCAGCUCGUGUCGUGAGAUGUUGGGUUAAGUCCCGCAACGAGCGCAACCCUUGUGGUCAGUUACUAACCGGCUUAGCCGGAGGACUCUGGCCAGACUGCCCUGUCAAACGGGGAGGAAGCUGGGGACGACGUCAAGUCAGUAUGGCCCUUAUGGCCAGGGCUGCACACGUACUACAAUGCCCGGUACAAUGUGAACCGAAACCGCGAGGUGGAGGAAAUCGCUCUUGAAAACCGGGCCCAGUUCGGAUUGGAGUCUGCAACUCGACUCCAUGAAGUCGGAAUCGCUAGUAAUGGCGUAUCA
rnacentral:rRNA from 1 species